UACGGAGGAUGCAAGCGUUAUCCGGAUUUAUUGGGUUUAAAGGGUGCGCAGGUUGUUUGAUAAGUCAGUGGUGAAAGUCUGUCGCUUAACGGUAGGAUUGCCAUUGAUACUGUUGGACUUGAAUAUGGAUGAGGUAGGCGGAAUGUGUAGUGCAGCGGUGAAAUGCAUAGAUAUUACACAGAACACCGAUUGCGAAGGCAGCUUACUAAUCCAUCAUUGACGCUGAGGCACGAAAGCGUGGGGAUCAAA
rnacentral:rRNA from 1 species